rnacentral:rRNA from 1 species
GACGAACGCUGGCGGCGUGCUUAACACAUGCAAGUCGAACGGAAAGGCACUGCUUUCGUGGGGUGCUCGAGUGGCGAACGGGUGAGUAACACGUGAGUAACCUGCCCUUGACUUUGGGAUAACUUAAGGAAACUGGGGCUAAUAUCGGAUAGGAGAUCCUGCUGCAUGGAGGGGGUUGGAAAGUCUCGGCGGUUGGGGAUGGACUCGCGGCUUAUCAGCUUGUUGGUGGGGUAGUGGCUUACCAAGGCUUUGACGGGUAGCCGGCCUGAGAGGGUGACCGGCGACAUUGGGACUGAGAUACGGCCCAGACUCCUACGGUAGGCAGCAGUGGGAAAUAUUGCACAGUGAGCGGGAGCCUGUUGCAGCAACGUCGCGUGCGGGAUGACGGCCUUCGGGUUGUAAACCGCUUUCGCCUGUGACGAAGCGUGAGUGACGGUAAUGGAUGAAUAAGCACCGGCUAACUACGUG